AUGAAGCAUCCAUUGACGGCGACGAAGUUCUCAUCACAUCCAAUUCCAAUUCCAUAUUUUAUUAGGGUGGAAUGACAGCCACUUGGAGAAAGCAUUGUGAGAGUGGGAAUUAGAUGAGAUUUAUGAGCAUAAAUUCGGGGCCACUACUUAGAUUUGCUAUAUAUUGCUAAGAAAUGGAUUGGUGUAGGAAAAAUUUACCAUGUAUCAUUAGGAAAC
rnacentral:lncRNA from 1 species